GGUCAGAGCACAGCUUGGUUUUGUUGGAGAUAAAUGCUCGGUGCCGCAAAGUGAAACCAGCACUCAAGCGAAAGUUUUCUCAGCCACACAAUUUACUUCUGCAGAAGCGUGCUGCUCGCAUCAAUCACAAUCGCAAGAGCACACGGAACAAAGGAAAGCAGGGGUUUUUAUUCCUAACGCAAUCCCUACCUCUGGCAUGGGCUGGGGCCAGACCUCAAGAUCUAAACCGAUCCGGUGGGCUAUUUGUGAAUAUUUUCCCAAAUAAGGAAGGGGGAAAGGGGAUGUGAGUUGCAACGGUGGGACGUGUUGUUUCGAAGGGAGAAAUGGGUGCAGAGCAGGUAACCAAGGGAACAGAUGUGAGUUAUUGAUUAGAACUGAUGGGAAGGUUGUUUACAGUAACUAAGGGCAAGGAGACAUGGAGAACAAGAAAGUUGAGUUCCAGAACAAAAAACAAGAACGUUAACAUGCCAAACCUUGGAAGCGAAACUGACUGUAUCUGACAGUUUUAUACAUUUUAGGGAGAUAGGAGACAUCAAUCAACAUAUGUAAGAUGAACACUGGUUUGAUCCGGUACAACCUGAAGCAAAAGUGUGUCAACUCGAAGCCAGGAGGGGGCUUCCAGGUCACAGAAACGGGGGUCUCCCUCGGUUGCCCAAGCUGGUUUCUGGUGCCCAAGGCGGGGCUCCCCGUAAUGUCUACAAAUAAUCCAGUGAAGGAACACCAGAGCGUGGAAAGCGGAGGACGACUGAAAAAGGACUUCCCAGUAGGUUUUCACUUCAAGCUCUAGGGUAAGUAGGGCGCUCGGAGAAUUCCAGGGAAACCUCCGGAAAAUGUGGGUCAGGCUGAGAGUAAGUUCGCGAAUUACUUAAGCCUUGUACCGCAGUUACUGCGCCGGGGAGGGGUAAUUGUGAGUACCCCGAAUCUCACAUCUUUGUUCCAUCUGGUAGACAAGUAUUCUCCUUGGUUCCCGGAAUAUGGAACCGUCAAUGUAAAAGAUUGGGACAAGGUCGGAUCAGACUUAAAAGGAGCACAAGAGGGCGGCGAUAUUCCCGUCUCUGCUUGGUCUGUAUGGUCGGCAGUUAAAACAGCACUGGAGCCCUUGCACACUGAGGAGGAGGAGGAGGAGUUCCAGGAUGACAUAGGAAGGUUGAAUAAUCAGGAGUCUAAUUAUCAGCUAAGUGAACCAUGACAGUCUCAUUUUAAAAAGGGCGAGAAACGGGAAGGUAUGUAUGCUCAUCUCCAAAAACGUAUAAAAGAAACAGUGCCACCUACUGCGCCUUUAGGGGAAGGUCUGGAAUGGCCGCCCCCAGGCCAGCCUUAGGAAUUUUUGGAAGGGGAGCCUGACAGGCGCCUUGGGGCUCCCAUUGUUGCAGGCCCCGCCGGUAACUAUGGUGAAGGGAAGCUUCAGGUUUGUCCAACAGCCAAUCAUGAUGAGGGAAUGAUCCAGGCUUGCCCAUCUGUUAAUUAUGGUAGAGGAAUGCUGCGAGCCGGUCCAAAUACAAAUGAUGACACAGGGACAAUCCAGGCAUCCAUUCGCCAGGCACAAGAAAUGGGGGAUUUGAAUGCUUGGCAGUUUCUGGCAAUUCUUUUGCCAGCUGAGGAGCCCAGAGAACUUGCUCAAGCAUGCCGGGAGCCAUUUCCUUUUAAAAUAUUAAAAGACUUAAAGCAAGCAAUUGGA